rnacentral:piRNA from 1 species
ACNCAGCCAAAACCUUGAGGUUGGAGCACAUA